rnacentral:ncRNA from 21 species
UAUUUGUUUGGAAACAAUGAUGAAUUUCUUUAAAUUGGGCACUUGAGAAAUUUUGAGUUAGUAGUGCAACCGACCAACGAUUA